GGUCUCUUUGUGCACCCGCCCACACGGUUUGCCGUGUUUUCACCCUUCUUUGUUCUCCACCGGUCUGGGCAGGGUCUGAGGACUCCGGAGAGCAAGGCAUGGGUCCGCCUCGUGCCGCAGGUUCCUGGCCCACGCCAGCCGUACCCAGUAGCACAAUGGGAUUUGAGGACACACGCCAGCUGCCUACACCUGAAGAAAGGGCUUUGCUGCUACGCACUGACAAGUUGGACGGCUUUUUAUUGCUUUGUUGCCAGUUAUCUGAACAUGAGAGGCUGUAAGGUGUAAUCUGCGAGCCCUGCGCCCAGACUGAACCAGGGCCUCCCUUGAACAUGAGUAUUAGACAAAUGAAAUAAGAACUUAUCUUGCCCAGACUAUAUAAUGGCUUGGAAAUGCAUAGUUUCCUGAACGAUCUCAAUAAAAUACUUUUAAAAGUACUUAAAAAAAAAAAAA
rnacentral:lncRNA from 1 species